rnacentral:rRNA from 1 species
UACGUAGGGGGCAAGCGUUGUCCGGAUUUAUUGGGCGUAAAGAGCGUGUAGGCGGCCUGACAAGUCUGCUGUGAAAACUCGAGGCUCAACCUCGAGAUGUCGGCGGAAACUGUCUGGCUAGAGUCCGGAAGAGGAGAGUGGAAUUCCUGGUGUAGCGGUGAAAUGCGCAGAUAUCAGGAAGAACACCUAUGGCGAAGGCAGCUCUCUGGGACGGUACUGACGCUUAGACGCGAAAGCGUGGGGAGCGAACAGG